CCUACGGGAGGCAGCAGUGGGGGAUAUUGCACAAUGGGGGCAACCCUGAUGCAGCGACGCCGCGUGAGAGAUGGAGUACGUCGGGAUGGAAAGCUCUGUCAGCAGGGAAGAGAAUGACGGUACCUGACCAAGAAGCCACGGCUAAAUACGGGCCAGCAGCCGCGGUAAUACGUAGGGGGCAAGCGUUAUCCGGAGUGACGGGGGGUAAAGGGAGCGUAGGCGGCAGGGCAAGCCGGAUGUGAAAGCCGGGGGCUCAACCCCGGGACUGCAUUGGAAACUGCCCCGCUCGAGUGCCGGAGAGGCAGGCGUAAUUCCUAGUGUAGCUGUGCAAUGCGUAGAUAUUAGGAGGAACACCAGUGGCGAAGGCGGCUUACUGGACUGUAACUGACGUUGAGGCUCGAAAGCGUGGGGAGCAAACAGGAUUAGAUACCCGGGUAGUC
rnacentral:rRNA from 1 species